UACGGGGGGGGCAAGCGUUGUUCGGAAUUACUGAGCGUAAAGGGCUCGUAGGCGGCCAACUAAGUCAGACGUGAAAUCCCUCGGCUUAACCGGGGAACUGCGUCUGAUACUGGAUGGCUAGAGGUUGGGAGAGGGAUGCGGAAUUCCGGGUGUAGCGGUGGAAUGCGUAGAGAUCCGGAAGAACACCGGUGGCGAAGGCGGCCUGCUGGGCAGUUUAGCUGACACUGAGGCGCGACAGCGUGGGGAGCAAACAGG
rnacentral:rRNA from 1 species